GAUCCGAUCAUGUUUCUAAGUGUUCGUGUUCAUGGAUGAAGUCUGUAUCGAGGUUUUUGGGGGUGAUUUCUGAGACCGCUUCGUCAAUGAUGAUUUUUGUCCAUUGGAGACUUUUCUGAGUGUAUCCGAUUGUGUUUUUCUCUAUUAUACACUCCGGAAAGACUUUGUGAUGAUUUUGGACGGUUGAUUUUGAUGACUUUUCGGCUUCUAGGGUUUCUGACGGUUUGACCUACGGUUUUACCGCAUUCCGGUGGUUCGAUUGUCAUUCUCUGGAUGUUUUGGGUGUUUUUCUGACCUCCUUCACCGACUCUCUGGUAAAGUGUUUUUGAUUUCAAAAAAUUUAAACCUAGGGUUUGAAACCUAGGGUUUCUCUGUGUUUGAAGGCCGAUCUUCUCCGGUUGCGAAGAAGGAGGGUAACUCUGUGUCCUUCUCCUCGAUUUAUGUGUACUUAUUUGACUUUGUAAUUGCGAGUAUCUGGUGGUAUCUGUGAUUACUUGACCUAAUUGUUGUUUGUCUGUUGGUUAUUGUUGGUUACUGUGUUUGUACACUUGUUCUGGUAGUAUCCUGUUUGUUGACAAGUUAUUUGUCUAAGCCGGUUCAUUAUGGCUUGUGGUAUCUUUGAUUACUUGACCUGAUUGUUGUUCAUCUGUUGGUUAUUGUGUUUGUACAUUUGUUCUGCUGUUUGUUGACUAGUUAUUUGUCUAAGCCGGUUUUAUUAUGGCUUCUAGCACAAGUACUGGUGCUUCUAAUACUG
rnacentral:lncRNA from 1 species